UACGGAGGAUGCAAGCGUUAUCCGGAAUGAUUGGGCGUAAAGCGUCCGCAGGUGGCUAUGUAAGUCUGCUGUUAAAGAGCAAGGCUCAACCUUGUAAAGGCAGUGGAAACUACAUGGCUAGAGUGCGUUCGGGGCAGAGGGAAUUCCUGGUGUAGCGGUGAGAUGCGUAGAGAUCAGGAAGAACACCGGUGGCGAAAGCGCUCUGCUAGGCCGCAACUGACACUGAGGGACGAAAGCGUGGGGAGCGAACAGG
rnacentral:rRNA from 1 species